UGGCCUUGACAUGCUUAGUUCAGGCGUGGAAACACGCUGGCCCGCAAGGGCGAUUUGCACAGGUGCUGCAUGGCUGUCGUCAGCUCGUGUCGUGAGAUGUUGGGUUAAGUCCCGCAACGAGCGCAACCCUCGUGGUUAGUUAUUCCCGGGCAACCGGAAUCUGACCAGACUGCCCUGUGAAACGGGGAGGAAGGUGGGGACGACGUCAAGUCCGUAUGGCCCUUACGGCCAGGGCUGCACACGUACUACAAUGCCCAAUACAGAGGGACGCAAGACCGCAAGGUGGAGCUAAUCCCGUAAAGUUGGGCCCAGUUCGGAUUGGAGGCUGCAACUCGCCUCCAUGAAGUUGGAAUCGCUAGUAAUGGCGCAUCAGU
rnacentral:rRNA from 1 species